rnacentral:rRNA from 2 species
GAUGGGAUAAUCCGGGAAACGGGGCUAUUACCGGAUAACUUUUUCCUUCGCAUGAAGGAGAAUUGAAAGGUGGCUCUAGCUACCACUUACAGAUGGACCCGCGGCGCAUUAGCUAGUUGGUGAGGUAACGGCUCACCAAGGNGACNAUGCGUNNCCGACUUGAAAGGGUGAUCGGCCACACUGGGACUGAAACACNGCCCNNACUCCUACGGGAAGCAGCAGUAGGGAAUCUUCCNCAAUGGACGAAAGUCUGACGGAGCAACGCCGCGUGAGUGAUGAAGGUUUUCGGAUCGUAAAACUCUGUUGUUAGGGAAGAACAAGUAUCGUUCGAAUAGGGCGGUACCUUGACGGUACCUAACCAGAAAGCCACGGCUAACUACGUGCCAGCAGCCGCGGUAAUACGUAGGUGGCAAGCGUUGUCCGGAAUUAUUGGGCGUAAAGCGCGCGCAGGCGGUUUCUUAAGUCUGAUGUGAAAGCCCACGGCUCAACCGUGGAGGGUCAUUGGAAACUGGGAGACUUGAGUGCAGAAGAGAAGAGCGGAAUUCCACGUGUAGCGGUGAAAUGCGUAAAGAUGUGGAGGAACACCAGUGGCGAAGGCGGCUCUUUGGUCUGUAACUGACGCUGAGGCGCGAAAGCGUGGGGAGCGAACAGGAUUAGAUACCCUGGUAGUCCACGCCGUAAACGAUGAGUGCUAAGUGUUAGAGGGUUUCCGCCCUUUAGUGCUGCAGCUAACGCAUUAAGCACUCCGCCUGGGGAGUACGGCCGCAAGGCUGAAACUCAAAGGAAUUGACGGGGGCCCGCACAAGCGGUGGAGCAUGUGGUUUAAUUCGAAGCAACGCGAAGAACCUUACCAGGUCUUGACAUCCUCUUGCCCUCCCUAGAGAUAGGGAUUUCCCUUCGGGGACAAGAGUGACAGGUGGUGCAUGGUUGUCGUCAGCUCGUGUCGUGAGAUGUUGGGUUAAGUCCCGCAACGAGCGCAACCCUUGACCUUAGUUGCCAGCAUUCAGUUGGGCACUCUAAGGUGACUGCCGGUGACAAACCGGAGGAAGGUGGGGAUGACGUCAAAUCAUCAUGCCCCUUAUGACCUGGGCUACACACGUGCUACAAUGGAUGGUACAAAGGGUUGCUAGACCGCGAGGUUACGCCAAUCCCAUAAAACCAUUCUCAGUUCGGAUUGUAGGCUGCAA